AUAUCUUCAAGACAAAAUAAUUUCAUCACUAACACUUGCAUCAGACAACAUGCUAGAUUUAACAUGCUUGUGUUAUGGAAUUUUGUUGUGUCAUGCUGGUAGUCUUGAUGAAGCAAAGAAUAUAACAGAAGCAAUGCCUUAUGAAUUCUUUAAUUUGGAGAUCGACACUUUAUUCUUGUGCAAUUAACGAAGACCUGAAACUGACACAGAGAGAGAAGCAGAGGGAUUAAUGGACUCGGAAGUGUUGAAUCGGUGACUUGAAUUCUUAACUAUUAAGAAUUUUAUUUCUUAAUCUUGAAGGACGUGAGAAGUUGAAGCCAGCUG
rnacentral:misc_RNA from 1 species